GAUGAACGCUAGCGGCAGGCUUAACACAUGCAAGUCGAGGGGUAGAGGUUGCUUGCAACCUUGAGACCGGCGCACGGGUGCGUAACGCGUAUGCAACCUACCUUUUACAGAGGGAUAGCCCAGAGAAAUUUGGAUUAAUACCUCAUAGUAUAUAGUCUUCGCAUGUUGACUAUAUUAAAGUUCCAACGGUAAAAGAUGGGCAUGCGUCCUAUUAGCUUGUGGGUAAGGUAAGGGCUUAGCAUGGCAACGGUAGGUAGGGGUACUGAGAGGGAAAUCCCCCACACUGGUACUGAGACACGGACCAGACUCCUACGGGAGGCAGCAGUGAGGAAUAUUGGACAAUGGGCGCAAGCCUGAUCCAGCCAUGCCGCGUGCAGGAAGAAGCAUCUAUGGUGUGUAAACUGCUUUUGAACAGGAAGAAACACCCCGACGUGUCGGGACUUGACGGUACUGUAAGAAUAAGGAUCGGCUAACUCCGUGCCAGCCGCCGCCGUAACAC
rnacentral:rRNA from 1 species